GACGAACGCUGGCGGCGUGCUUAACACAUGCAAGUCGAACGGAAAGGCCCUGCUUUUGUGGGGUGCUCGAGUGGCGAACGGGUGAGUAACACGUGAGUAACCUGCCCUUGACUUUGGGAUAACUUCAGGAAACUGGGGCUAAUACCGGAUAGGAGCUCCUGCUGCAGGGUGGGGGUUGGAAAGUUUCGGCGGUUGGGGAUGGACUCGCGGCUUAUCAGCUUGUUGGUGGGGUAGUGGCUUACCAAGGCUUUGACGGGUAGCCGGCCUGAGAGGGUGACCGGCCACAGUGGGACUGGGAUACGGCCCAGGCUCCUACGGGAGGCAGCAGUGGGGAAUAUUGCACAAUGGGCGGAAGCGUGAUGCAGCAACGCCGCGUGCGGGAUGACGGCCUUCGGGUUGUAAACCGCUUUCGCCUGUGACGAAGCGUGAGUGACGGUAAUGGGUAAAGAAGCACCGGCUAACUACGU
rnacentral:rRNA from 1 species